AUGGAGGAAUGCCAUAAUGUCAUCUUUUGGAAAGAGGGAGAGAGUGGUCUUUUGAAUCUGACCACAGAAGGUGUCGGAACAGGAAACUAUGAUGUUGAAGGGCAUGUUUUCAGUUAUAAGGGAACCAGAAAACCACUAAGGUAUUUCUCUACUUUCACUUUAACUGAUGUUAUCUCUAUUUCUAUUUGUCUUAACCUUAGCUUGGAGAGUUAUUAGGUAGUCGUCCUGAAUUCUUCAUAAUUCCUUUUAAAGAAAGUUGACCAUAUUUUAAACUCUAUAGUUUCUGGAAAUUAAAUGCCAAGUUAUAUUUCCAUACAGUUCACAUAGAAUCUGGAGAACUAUAAUAAAUUAAGGGUGAGUGAAAAUGUGAAUUCA
rnacentral:lncRNA from 1 species